GACGAACGCUGGCGGCGUGCUUAACACAUGCCAGUCGAACGGAAAGGCCCUGCUUUUGUGGGGUGCUCGAGUGGCGAACGGGUGAGUAACACGUGAGUAACCUGCCCUUGACUUUGGGAUAACUUCAGGAAACUGGGGCUAAUACCGGAUAGGAGCUCCUGCUGCAUGGUGGGGGUUGGAAAGUUUCGGCGGUUGGGGAUGGACUCGCGGCUUAUCAGCUUGUUGGUGGGGUAGUGGCUUACCAAGGCUUUGACGGGUAGCCGGCCUGGGAGGGUGACCGGCCACAUUGGGACUGAGGUACGGACCAGACUGCUACGGGAGGCAGCAGUGGGGAAUAUUGCACAAUGGGCGGAAGCCUGAUGCAGCAACGCCGCGUGCGGGAUGACGGCCUUCGGGUUGUAAACCGCUUUCGCCUGUGACGAAGCGUGAGUGACGGUAAUGGGUAAAGAAGCACCGGCUAACUACGUG
rnacentral:rRNA from 1 species